rnacentral:lncRNA from 1 species
AAUCGCUUUGCUUUCCAGAGCUUUUGCAGACUCUUCUCCAUUUGAUUUACCUUAUGGUCUGUAUCAAAUGAGAUCUAAGUCCCUGCCUUCAGUCAGCCUUUAACUCUGGCCUUCAUCACCCGCUAAUUAUCCUUUCAAUCACACAUUUCUGUUCCUUUCUGCUAGGCAACCCCCCACACAUAGAAGAAAACCACCAUCAGCCUGCACAGAGCAAUGCCAUUAUCCUCCUUGAAGCUCAUACCCUGCCCUGUUGGCUAAUGACAAAGUGGAUUCCUCGUGUGAUCACUAAGACAGCAGAAUUUUCCUUUCCACCUCCUAAGAAUUAAAAGUUCCUUCAGGCUCAGUCUGAGACACGGCUGUAAGAGGACCUGAAGUGAGUCUUCCUCUUCUGGCCUGGCUCCAUCCUCUGCAAAUGCACGGUGUUAAUUUUGGGCUGGAUGAGGUCUUGUUGAUAGGCUGAGCUUUGGAUUUUCACCAGCUCUGUCUGCACAGAGAUAGCGUGGUUCAGUUCCAGCUCCUGGACUCCUAUUUGCAGCCCUGUGUGAUGGUUCGGUAAUCCUAGGAGCUAACAAUAAUAAUAUCAAGUGUCAUUACCAAUGGAUUUUUUAAUCAUCAUUAUAAUUCUUAUUCUGAAAAGCACUUAAAGCACGUUUUUAUCUUUCGUCAACAAUAAAAUGCAGCCUCAUAAAUAUUUAACUUGUCUG